CUGCAGGUUUGACUUACAGACUUCAGCCAGAAAUAUUCAAGUCACUCGGUUUGUAUCAAAGAGCUUUAAAAGCAUCAUAAGGUGCAACACUGAUCACUGCUGAACAAUCCUCAGGAGAUCUGGACAGAAGGAACUUGAAGAAUGAAAAAGAAAAGACAUCAGAAAAUCCCAAACUCGAGCACUUCACACCAAUGGCCAUAACAUUUGGGAAUAGGGAGUUACAAGAUGGAUGGCAUAAGAUCUGUUGCAUUUUGAGGAUGAAGGAAGCCCCAGGAAAACCCUGUGGGGCAGCACUGCAGCAAAGGACCCAUGGGAUGGGUUGGAGGAUGUGGUUGUGUGGAUGCAGGCAGAUGUAGCACCAGCAUCCUUAUAGGGUGGCUGUCUCCCAGAGCUCUGGUCUCAGUCAGGAUCCAAAAUCCAGGA